CUGGUAGAACUUUUUUUAGAAGGUGAGGACUAUUACGGUCUUAUAUGCAUGUUCUACAAAACGAUACAUUUACUUUCCGCAUUUUUUUCGCAAAUGAGGUUUUUGUUUUUAAUUAAUCAUCAAGAUUUUGCACGCUGAUUCAUAUUCUCUGGGUGAUUAUAUAUAGGUAUCCGCUGGAUAUUUUGUCGAAUUAAUUUCGGGGGUGAGCUAAUUUAUUUUAUGUAAUUAUAUCAUUUUACAGAAAGAGUACUAAUAUUUAUUUUUUUAAUAAAAUAAAUAAAAGACCCUAAAAAGUUCUUUUGUUUUUUUUUCAAUCCAAGUUUCAAUCACGUACCCAUAGCAAUAGAAG
rnacentral:lncRNA from 1 species